CGAGGAUGCACUUCCGUAAUUGGCCCAGCCUUGGGUCACGUGAUUCCAGGUGGGUGGGGAUUCUUCUGUGAUUGACAGCCCCACCACCUGCAGCGGCAAGAUAGCGGUUGCCCCCAAGGAAAGGGCACUGAAGGCCAAAAACGUCCACCCCUGGGUCCCUGUGAAAAGCUGGUCGUGCCUGCUCCUGCACUGCUGACCCAAAAGUGAACUUGGACUCCAAGUGGGCGCUCAGCAAACGUGUGUGGGACAAGACAGGACAUUCCCUGUACAGUACCCCGUAUGCUCGGGCCACAGAGCCAGCAUUGAAACUCCUGGGCAUUCAAGUCUGCCACGUUCCACCCAGCGGGAAAAAUUCAGAGCUGACAUUAAUUCAGGCCCCACAUACAUGAUUCUUACUGAGUAAGACAUCAAGACAAUCUCGCCCUUUGUCGGAACUGUGGGAGUCUGACUUAUGCGUCGAGAGAAGCCAGUCUAAAAUCAGUCGCUUUUUGAAACCAUCGGCUUAAGAAAUUAAGGAUUCUGUCAGCGUGCCCUGAAUUCUGGGCCCAGCAAUUAAUUCCUCCUAGAUUAAAGGAUUGUUGUGUUUCUGAUACAUUAUUAUGCGGAGUGGGCUUGCUGUGAAUUUUAAAACUUUAACCAGAAUCCUCAUUAACUGGGAUCUUUUAUCUGUGUGCAACUCGUAGAAGAGGCCAGUGGCUAGAAAGUGAGCUGAUGCAUCCAAAAGAAACAGCAUUCCAGAGGGCGUCCUAAUGCACAUUCGUCCAGGCAGCUGUCCUCCUCCUGAUGGUAACAGGGCCAUUUACUCACAACGCGCCAGGCUCAGGCUGGACAUUGGACAUCACCCUGCUGAAUUCUCGCCCGCCCUAUCAGCUGGCCACAGUUAUUAUUAUCUCCAGUUUACAGGCGAGGGGACUGCGGCUGGCGAAGGGAGGUGAAGAGCCCUGCUCAGGCCAGUGGGUGGCCCAGGUCUAUGCGACCUCCUGGCCCCAUGCUUGACCCCACCUUUCCCUGCACCCCCUUCUCCCUGGACAACAAUAAAGAUCGCUGUGCAGGA